GUGAUCACUUCGGCAGCACAUAUAGUAAAAUUGAAAAGAUAGAGAAGAUUAGCACGGCCCUGUGCAAUGAUGACACGCAAUCAUAAAGCACUCCACAUUUUU